CCUACGGGAGGCAGCAGUGGGGAAUUUUGGACAAUGGGCGCAAGCCUGAUCCAGCCAUGCCGCGUGUGGGAAGAAGGCCUUCGGGUUGUAAACCACUUUUGUCAGGGAAGAAACGGCUUUUUCUAAUACAGAGAGCUAAUGACGGUACCUGAAGAAUAAGCACCGGCUAACUACGUGCCAGCAGCCGCGGUAAUACGUAGGGUGCAAGCGUUAAUCGGAAUUACUGGGCGUAAAGCGUGCGCAGGCGGCUUUGCAAGACAGAUGUGAAAUCCCCGGGCUCAACCUGGGAACUGCAUUUGUGACUGCAUGGCUAGAGUACGGUAGAGGGGGAUGGAAUUCCGCGUGUAGCAGUGAAAUGCGUAGAUAUGCGGAGGAACACCGAUGGCGAAGGCAAUCCCCUGGACCUGUACUGACGCUCAUGCACGAAAGCGUGGGGAGCAAACAGGAUUAGAUACCCUGGUAGUCCACGCCCUAAACGAUGUCAACUGGUUGUUGGACGGCUUGCUGUUCAGUAACGAAGCUAACGCGUGAAGUUGACCGCCUGGGGAGUACGGCGCGAGGUUGAAACGUCAAGGAUUGACGG
rnacentral:rRNA from 1 species